rnacentral:piRNA from 1 species
UCAUCGAUCGAAAUCGGGAGGCGCACGC